rnacentral:rRNA from 2 species
UAAGCAUAUCAAUAAGCGGAGGAAAAGAAACCAACAGGGAUUGCCUUAGUAACGGCGAGUGAAGCGGCAACAGCUCAAAUUUGAAAUCUGGCCCUUGGGUCCGAAUUGUAAUUUGUAGAGGAUGAUUUUGGUGCGGUAUCUUCCGAGUUCCUUGGAACAGGACGCCUUAGAGGGUGAGAGCCCCGUACGGUUGAAUGCCUAGCCUCUGUAAAUCUCCUUCGACGAGUCGAGUAGUUUGGGAAUGCUGCUCUAAAUGGGAGGUAAAUUUCUUCUAAAGCUAAAUAUUGGCCAGAGACCGAUAGCGCACAAGUAGAGUGAUCGAAAGAUGAAAAGCACUUUGAAAAGAGGGUUAAAUAGCACGUGAAAUUGUUGAAAGGGAAGGAUUUGUGACCAGACUUUUUCUGGGCGGAUCAUCCGGGGUUCUCUCCGGUGCACUUCGCCCAGUAAAGGCCAGCAUCGGUUUUCGGCGUGGGAUAAAAGCAGUAGGAAUGUGGCUCUCUACGGGGAGUGUUAUAGCCUAUUGUAUAAUACCGCGCUGGGGACCGAGGUUCGCGCUUCUGCAAGGAUGCUGGCGUAAUGGUUAUCAAUCACCCGUCUUGAAACACGGACCAAGGAGUCGAACAUUUGUGCGAGUGUUUGGGUGUUAAACCCUCACGCGUAAUGAAAGUGAACGGAGGUGAGAGCCCUUACGGGUGCAUCAUCGACCGAUCCUGAAGUUUUCGGAUGGAUUUGAGUAAGAGCAUAACUGUUCGGACCCGAAAGAUGGUGAACUAUGCGUGGAUAGGGUGAAGCCAGAGGAAACUCUGGUGGAGGCUCGCAGCGGUUCUGACGUGCAAAUCGAUCGUCAAAUCUGCGCAUGGGGCGAAAGACUAAUCGAUCCAG